ACCCAGGGUAAAAGAUUGCCCCUAAUCCCGCCUUUCCUGCUCCAUUGGUUAGAGUGACAGUCAGUCACACAGUGCAUUCAGCCAAUCACUGCAUUUUGAGUGGUUAAUCAGGCCUGCUCCAGCUUUCCCUGUCAGGUGUGAGGGGGAGAGCUGGAGACAAAGGAGCUACAGAUCUGAACAUCCAGUGAGCUUGGAGCCGUGAAGUUGUCAUGCACUGAACUAUAUAUGGAAUUGGCCAGGUGAUCCCUUGGUAGGGUCAAAGGAUGGCGAGCUUCUGACAACUGGCUGGAGCCAGGAGAACCUUAAAACUCACUCUAUACUGGUCUGGUAGGAGUCUGAUGGUCCACAACAUUUCCCCCUCCAUCUCAUUAUAAAGACACACAAUUCAUUAUUCAACCCUUCUCUGGUGGAAACAAAUUGCGCUUGGACAUUUUCAUCUCAAACAAUUGGACAAUUAAAUUAUGGACUUUUAAAUGUGUGUCAGUCAGACAAUGUGCUGACUACUGGGGAAAGAUAGGACUCUUUGUGCACAUUUAUAUACAAGAUUUACUGCAGUAUUGUGUAUGUAUAUAUUUAUUGUCUUUAUUUUUUUGUUUUUCAUGUAUGUUUGUGUCUUGUGGUGUUCACUUAUUUUUCCUUCUCUAAA